AAGAGGGUGAGGCUGGCGAUGGGGAGGGAGUGGCUGGAUCUGACUGUGUACUUCCCGGACCGCUGCUCUGUUUGUUUGUUGAGCCUGCUAUUAAUCCUCUAUUUAAGCCAUAUUUUAUCUGUGUGAGAAUAUUGGGCUGAGAACCUCAUACACAAGUAUUUGAAGGAAUAUAGCACAGUGGUUACAUACUGUGUCCUGGAAUUGAACCAUCUCUUAGCAACAUAACUUUGAGAAUUAGACAAACUAGACACGGUCUGUCUCCGCUGGCCUGGCCACCGCAACCCUCCCUCUUCUACCUGCAGCUGGAUGGACCUGAUGCAGCAGUCAUCCAUGACCAUGCAGCUAUUUGGAGAGGACAUAGAAUUCAAGGGAGAGGGCAUUGGAAGUAAGAGGGCUGACUUUGGCUUCCUGCUCUAAAUGAUUUUCUGUGAUCCAGCUUUUACUUGUAAUCCACUUUUAGGUCCUUGUCCAGUUAAUAAAAUCAGUAGUUUGUUUGCUUUUUAGCUGUGGUUUCUUGGCUGCAUGCUCCUUCAGCAGAGAAUUGCAGAAAUGAGACCAAAGCCACUUGCAAAACCAAAUUGUCAACACCAUUCUCCAUCCAGUACAGCCUACUUUGCAGGACCCUUUUAGACAGCAUUGUAAGGGUCUUUUUCUCAAACUGGGUCUUUUUACAGCACUGAGGGACAUAGCCUGAUCUAAUCCCCUCCCAUUCAUGUUGUUGACAAAGGAGGGAGUGCUGUCCUGGGGUUAUGGGUACGGCUGAACACACGACCCUGGACACAGGCUGGGACACACAAGACUGGCAGCAGUUUAUUAGCCGCAUACGCGGGACAUCACACCAUGCAGGACCGCAUGGGAACAGAGUGGACAACCAGAGGCUGUGGGAGGCAGGCCUUCAGUGUCAAAAGAAUGAGAUCACCCCUGGUUUCCACUGGAGGAUGUGGCUGGCUGGUUUGAAUAAUUUUGAAGGCUGGCAGGGAACUGAAACUUGUUACUCAGGGAUAAGCAAGAAGUGCAUCUGGUCCCUUGUAAGGAGGGUUGUUUGGCUACAUGACCUUUUCCUUGGGAGAAGACCAGCAAAGAGAACUUAAGAGUUAUAGGCUAUUUGAGACCCUCCUGAUUUCAUCAGAUGUCAAGGAAACACAUAACAUCAGGCCUUAAUUCUAGGGUUUACACCACAUAGACUAUACUACUAUAACAUUACUAAUUACGUCAGAAUUUCACUCUAGAUGUGUGUUUGUGAAUAUCUUGUUUCCUAUUGAAAUUGUGAGCUACUCAGGGACAACCAGCAUUUCAAAAACAGUUCAUGUUAUGAUUUGGGGAAAAAAAUUGCAUUAAAAUGGUCUUUUGUCACAUGUCAAAGUGCUAUUUUCAAAUUUAGUCACACAAAUACCAUUGAAUACAUCCCAGCUUUGUCUUUAUCAUGGUUAGAUUUUUUUAAUGUAGCAAAACUUUUAGUAGUGAAGGAUGUGCUGUGUAGAACUUAGACUUGUUUCUGUUAAGAGUUUGAACUCAGGCUGGCAAUGAUGCCCACACAUACACAGAUUGCUGAAUUAAAGACGUGAUAUGCCAUGGAUUGACAGUUCUAAUCAUUUAGUUACCCACGUUUGCUGACAUUUCAGAAGAGCUAAUGGGUUUUUUCCCACUCUCUUUUCAAACAAUGGGUGAAACAAUAAAAUGAAUGGGACAUUAACAUUCUUUUAAAAUCAGAGUUAAGCUACAGCCUAAACACCAGAAUGCUGAUGUCUCAAAUGUAUUAUUCAGACAGCAUAUUGUAGGCAUGAAUGGGGCCCAUUAAGAGGUCUUAUUGUUGCUAAAUUGAAGCAGGUUGGUUUGAAG
ensembl:lncRNA